UGAAUUAUUUCAGAUAAGUUUUCAAUAUGGCAGAAUGCCAAAUGGAGCGGGAACCAAGGGGAGCAAGAGCGAGACCCCCAAGGCCUCCACCCCUUACCCAGAGCAGAGACAGUGUGACGGAUGCAAAGACAUUUCAGAAGCUUCAUGAUUCUGCAUAUAAAUAUAUCAAUAAAGGACUCGCCUCAGACGAGGUCUCAAACAUCCAAGAAGCCAUAGCUAACUACCAGAAAGGUCUGGAGAAUAUCAGCAAAGGGCUAGAAAUAAACGUGGAAAGUUUGAAUUGUUCUGAAGAUGAGAAAAAUGACUUAAAAAUGAUGCAGCAGAAAAUGACCAAAACAAAACUUCAAAUUGAAUACCGCAUUCAGUCUCUGACACAGACAACAAACGGAGUCUCCGAUUCAAUGGAAGUUGAGGCCCCACCAUCUUAUGAAGAAUCCAUCUCAUCCCCUGGGUCUAUUUCAGAGGAGGCAUUCCUUUCUUUAGGUGACUCAAUUAUGGGUGAACAAUCAAAUGACGAUUCUCUCUCUGCAAAUGCAGAGGAAAUAUUUGGUAUACCUGAUGGGGUACAGAUUUUCUACAUUACCAAGGAAGGGUUUGUCAGUGCACCCUCCUAUCCAUCGUCCCUCAAAAUGGUCCGCUUCACUGAACCCCCACCGGCAGAAGAUCAGAACCGACCUCCAGCCUUUCUCAAAGUUGAUAACUGGAUAUACCCUCUUGUCCCUGGGAUGUCCCCUGCUUUACAUGCAACAAAUGGGUCAUACAUUUUCCCAGAUGUAACAGCUAAUGCAGAAGGAUCUUCUGUUGGGUUGCUGUUACCUCCAGAUGCUACCCCGAGUCAGAGACAUCAGUUUGAGCAAACUCUGGCCUCCCUGACAGCUCUGCUGGAUCAGACUACGCCUACUGCUCCGCCCAUGGAGCAGGAACCUUCAGCCCCUCCCAUGGAAGCAGAAAUGGAGGACAUCCGAGAACCUGCAAAGGUGGGUGUCACGGUGUCAGAAGUAGACGUGAAGGAGAGGACUGAAGAAGGCACAUCCACCAAAAUAGCCAAGGGUAUUACAGUAGCUUCACAGUGGAUCUCUUGGGGUCUAGAGAAAGGAUCAGAAAAGGCCGGACAUUUUAUCAGGGUAGGGUCUAGCAAAAUAAGAGAGCACCUGCAUCCAGAACAGCCAAAACCUAUCGACCCUAAGGUACAGAGGGGGGCUGAGUACGCCAGAAAGGGAGCCCAUGUCGCUGUAUCUGUCAGCUCGUACCUGGGUAAGGAUCUGUGGAAUCAAACAUAUUUGUUAAACAUGUAGUAAAUGUUUGUACAGUAAAACACGUUCAUGGAAAUGUGCCAAAGUUUACAGACUUUGAUUUGUUAUAACUUUAAUUCUUUAUGUUUGAUUCUUUAUAAUACAAUUUUUACAAUUGAGGAAUGAAACUGACUUGCUGUAAGGGUGUAUUCAAAAUAAGCAUAUUCAUGGCAUGCAUGUUUUACUAUAUAUCUUAAAAGAAGUUCAUUUAUAUCCAUGGUUUUAAUUUUUAACACCAUAAACUUUUACAUCAAUUGACUAACAGUGACAAAAUUGGGCCAAGCCACAGUGGCAGUAGCAAAAGAAAUGGCCCCUCACAUCCGUAAACAUGGCCAGAAACUCCUGCCUGACUCCAUCAAAAGCAAGACCCCGGCCCCUGGCAGUAAUUCCAAGGUGGACAAAGUUGUAGACGGGGCGGUGGAGGUCGCCGCCUCAGGUCUAAAAGGUUUUGGUACAGUUUACAUGUCACUGGAGUCAGCAGCUAAAGCCCUGGCCAAGAAUCUGGCGAAUGAAACAGUCACAGUGGUCAACCACAAGUAUGGAAGUGAAGCCGCUAAAUUGUCAGAGAACGCGCUGUAUGCAGUGGGAAAUGUUGCCAUGACAGCGUACAAUGUGGAUAAUCUGGGAGUGAAGGCGAUAGCUAAGCGGGCCGCAAAAGACACUGGCAAGGAGCUUGUGAAAGAUAUACACAAGGAGUGGAAAGGUGCCAGCAAACCUCCCAGUAUGAGUUACUCCUCUUUGAAUGACCAGCAACACAAGAAGUGAUCAUGGACAGCGUGAUGAUUUUCCUCACCAUAUUGUUGAUUUUUCCUGUUAUUAUUUAUUUCUGAAUCAUGUAUUACAUGUUGAACCGUUUUCAUGUUGGGGAUUACAUGAGAAGAUAUAAUUGAGGCGGAUUUCAUUUUCUUAUUAUUACAGUGUUGUAAUGUAUUGUAUUCAACAUGUGUAAAGGCAAACAUGAAGAUUCAGUUUAUGUUUACAUGUAUAAGCAAUAGUGUGCAAGUAUUUGCUGAUUGUAAAUUGAAACCAUUUCCACUAGACUUAUGUGAAUGAUGAGCUCUUUCUUGUUAUUUUUUUAUGUAUACUUACUGUGAUAAAUAAAAAAAUAAAGUUAUUUAAAAAAAUU
rnacentral:misc_RNA from 1 species